AUACGUAGGUGACAAGCGUUAUCCGGAUUUACUGGGCGUAAAGGGCGUGUAGGCGGUCUUGCAAGUCAGAAGUGAAAUUCCUGAGCUCAACUCGGGCGCUGCUUCUGAAACUGCAGGACUUGAGUGCUGGAGGGGAUAGCGGAAUUCCUAGUGGAGCGGUAAAAUGCGCAGAUAUUAGGAAGAACACCGGUGGCGAAGGCGGCUAUCUGACCAGUAACUGACGAUGAGGAGCGAAAGCGUGGGGAGCAAACAGGAUUAGAUACCCUGGUGGUCCACGCCGUAAACGAUGAAUACUAGGUGUAGGGGGUAUCGACUCCCUCUGUGCCGCAGUUAACACAAUAAAUAUUCCGCCUGGGGAGUACGGCCGCAAGGUUGAAACUCAAAUGAAUUGACGGGG
rnacentral:rRNA from 1 species